GACGAACGCUGGCGGCGUGCUUAACACAUGCAAGUCGAACGGAAAGGCCCUGCUUGCAGGGUACUCGAGUGGCGAACGGGUGAGUAACACGUGGGUGAUCUGCCCUGCACUUCGGGAUAAGCCUGGGAAACUGGGUCUAAUACCGGAUAGGAGCCAUUUUUAGUGUGAUGGUUGGAAAGUUUUUUCGGUGUAGGAUGAGCUCGCGGCCUAUCAGCUUGUUGGUGGGGUAAUGGCCUACCAAGGCGGCGACGGGUAGCCGGCCUGAGAGGGUGGACGGCCACAUUGGGACUGAGAUACGGCCCAGACUCCUACGGGAGGCAGCAGUGGGGAAUAGUGCACAAUGGGCGCAAGCCUGAUGCAGCGACGCCGCGUGGGGGAUGACGGCCUUCGGGUUGUAAACUCAUUUCGCUAGGGACGAAGCUUUUUGUGACGGUACCUAGAUAAGAAGCACCGGCUAACUACGUG
rnacentral:rRNA from 1 species